GCCUCUUCGUCGAAGAGGUAGGGAUGCAGAGACAACCAGGAGGUUUGUCUAGAAGCAGCCACCCUUGAAAGAGUGUGUAAUAGCUCACUUAUAGAAUGCUCUUGCACCGAAGAUGAACGAGACUAAGCGGC
rfam:Nicotiana attenuata strain TT chromosome 2, whole genome shotgun sequence.